GCCGUAAGUUCUAUGGAACUUAAUACCGACUAGCUCACCGUUACGUCUUCAGCUUGCAUUAAUAUGUACUUUAUUCCUAGCUUUUACGUGGUUAACCCACUCAUGAAGCAUUCAAUCGACUCAUCGAUUUCCAAAGUAACCGACUAAAGCAACGAGUAUAAAUACACCAACUUCCAGCGAUGAACAGAAUAACUACAACAAGCUCUACAAGGAUAGUUUGUUCAGCUUACCAAUUACGACAACGGCGAAUUCCUACAUCCUUGGGAGCUGCUCCAACACGUUGAGACCAUGGAAAGAACAUGGGAAAAUAUCUAAUUUUAUUCGUCUUUUUACUCAACGCCGAUUUGUUUGGUGGUAGAGGAGGACAUCUACUCUUCUUUACUGUUUAAAAUCAAUCUAGAUCUGAACCUCUCCGGCGUAUCCUAGCAGGUUUUUUUGGCCUCUUCAAUUCUAUGCUAAUCUUCAGCUUGAUCUAUGUUUCGAUAGAAUUAACAAUUGAAGAAACCCUCUGAUGAAGUUUUAUGGACAGUUUUCUUUUUAUUACAUAACCGAAGCUGCAAGCUGUGUUUUUGUUGGUAUCUCUUGCAGUUACCAUCAUGUAGCCCCUCUUAGGUUAUACGCUUAGAUGUUUUCUUCUCUUGCAGAUUCCGAAGACUUUAAAAUCACAUCAGAGCCUCAGGUUGCGAUUACACCAAGUUUGCAGCUUCAGAUGAUCAUUGUCUCCGUUCUUUAAACAUGGGAUGAGAGAGUAUGUCAUCGGAGAUUUCAUCAAUAUGUUUGGAAGCGUAGCUAUUAAUUUUGGCACAAACCUUCUCAAAUUGAGACCUAAUCAAGUUUGCAUUUGCCUCAGUCAGUACCAUUUCGUUGCAUUUGUCCUUCUGAGCCUUACUCUGUUGGUUUUGUGUAUUAUGAGAGAGAGAGAGAGGUUAGCCUUAUAGGAUAAUGGUGGAGGAGAGACGCAAUUGAUGCCGCAUAUACAGUUUCAAACAUGGAUAGUUAAUAGCAACUGUUGAUGAGACUAAAAGGUCAAGAAAAAAAAAGUAUAGGUGUCAUUCCUCCACUCCAAUAUUUUAGUAAUUAUCUUCCGAUCAGGCUCUGUUUUCAUGAAUUAUUUUUUACUUUCAUUCUGCAGGAUGAGAACAAGUGAGGAACCGCCAGUAUGUGUGACAUGCUUUACAUAGCAACGUCGCACUCCUUGCCAAAUUCAUCUUCUCUCUUGACCUGAGCUAAGGUUCAUAAAUCAAAUGAAAAAUAUGAAGGUAGCUACUUGACUCCAUGUUCAAGUAAUGGUGGAUAAGUAUGAAGUCAGCUGUGAUGGUAUGAAAGGAUACUUGACUCCAUGUUCAGGGGAAACUCACCCGCCUAUAUUCAGGUCCCCAGUGAAGGGUAGGGAGGGCAUCUUGCCAACCAACUCAUGUGAGAUCACGGACCUAGAUCAGUGGUUUUUCUAACUUUUAACGCCUCAGCUUCCCCGCCCGUCACACUAUGGAAGCUGGCCAUGCGAAUCUUUCUCAGUCUCUCUCGCUCUUCUUCUUCUCCUAUGAUUAUUGUUUCCAGUCUUCACAACAUUUUUUAACUGCGGCACUAAAAGGGUUUUACUUAAACCAAACUUUGUAUAUAAGUCUUAAUAUUCUAUUCAUAUACCAAA